rnacentral:rRNA from 1 species
CGGUCUUCUCCCUCACGGGAACACUUUUUUCUAAGGUUGACCUCGGAUCAGUAGAAUACCCAGCC